ensembl:lncRNA
GUUUAGAGCUCGACAUGUUGAUGACGUUACCGCUCCCCGUGUGGAGGACUGGGCUGUUGGUCUCCCUGGUCCCGGUUGGCCUUGCUGUCCUGUUGCUGAGAGGUCACCGUUCAGCCUGCCGGUGUGUUUUAGAAUUCCCAAAUCAGCAUGAAACCGACGAUGCGCUCAUGGCUCAGCACAGCUGUCAAUCAUCGUGGCUCCACAACCAGUUUUUGUGUUGCAAAGGAAAUAAAAGGCGUCCGUGAGCUGCUUCCCAGCAUGAGGUGGGAAAUGGUCCCAACUCGGGUCCAGAAGACGAGCGCUAAACUCUAAAUGGUUGGUAAUGAGCGGCGGUCGCUUUUCCUCACAGCAAUAUCUGAAGUCAGAGCCUUUAAGAACCGUAUUCCAUUCUGCAGUAUUAGUUUGUGCCUUGAGUUCUUUUCUUUUCUUUUUUUACUUUACAUUGUGACUGAGGAGAUUAGACCCGUCACAUCAAACGAGAAGCUCACUGAUCUGAUGAUGCGUACGGCUGCACCAUCGCCGCUAGUGGCUGCUGGGGCAGAAUCCAGGGUUCAUUUCAAGAAAAACCACAUCACUGAAAAUACAAGCCCCUCUCCCGUCGUCUGUCUUCUUCAGUGUGCACGACCCCCACACAGACCGACGAAUGGACAGAACGGAGUGACUCCAUCGAGUGUGCAUGAUGGUCAGUGACAGCCUGAUACACAUCAUCUGGCCUUUACUGCUUUACAUCACAUACAGUAUUGCACCAUUGUGUGAGGUUCUCUUUUUUUUUUCUGGACUCAUUGAUUAGAACUUGACUGAUAAAUCGCUGUGUGCUGGGCUGCCGGCAUAAGUAUUGAUGUUGGUGCUGGGUGGUUGAGGUAGUGUAUAUCCAGACAAUGAAAAGAUGGGUUAGAAGUGUAUUCACUGCAUUCACACGGGGCGUUUGUUCAUGGGGGGGUGGAUCAUCUGUUACGGUAUGGCUGUAUUAGGCAAGCUACAACUAGAUCUGGAGUCAUGGAAAUGCCCUAGAUGGGUUUAAAUGAAUUGGCAGAGCCGUUACACAGCGAUGUCCUUUAGUAGAGCUUUGGGUUCCUCAUCUUAACUGUGAGCAGGGUGGACUUGACCCUGAUCAACACUGCAGGAGAUCAUGUGACACCGCUGAAAAGCUCCAGAACUGCUACCAGAGCCUCUUGGGUGACAAGCCGAGUAGUCCCAAAGGUUUUGGAUAUGAUUUAGACACACGGUUGCCUUUUCAUUGGUGACGAAGUGUCUUACUCAACAUAGUUUGGUCACAAAGCAAAAAUAAAUGUUUGUGAAAAGAAUACUUGUCGACAUGUUUUGGUACCAAACUCUUUUGAACCAUCAGCCUCCAAUUCCGUUCUUAGUCCGGCUCUCACUAAUCAUUGUAACGGAACAAGAUGGAGGCCACGAGGUGAGAGCCUCAGGAAGUGGAGCUCCUGCUAAGGCCUCAGAUUUUCAGAACAUAUUUAGUGGUGGCGAUUCCCAGAGCUAAAAGAAAGACCCAAACUAAAUGAAUCACCCAUUCCACCCCCUCCAUGGUUGUUGGACACAUCUGUCCUGAGGAAGGACCAGUUUUCUGAUUCCCUGUACGUCCUUGUCUCAUUCUUCAUGAGUCGCUCCACACUGAGAGCCAAACCCGUGGACAUGUUAAUGUAGCACCCCCACCAAUGGGCGCCAUUGUCAGACUUCUCCAUUAUUUGGUAACAGUAUAAAAAGAGUUUGAGUCUGGUGUUGAAUUGUUACUUUGUAAAGUUCUUUUUCUUGUGAAAAGAUAAUAAACACUUCAUUGCCAAAUUCUGG